rnacentral:rRNA from 1 species
GUGAGGAAUAUUGGUCAAUGGGCGAGAGCCUGAACCAGCCAUGCCGCGUGUGUGAAGAAGGCCUUUUGGUUGUAAAGCACUUUAAGCAGUGAAGAAGACCUAACGGUUAAUACCCGUUAGCGAUGACAUUAGCUGCAGAAUAAGCACCGGCUAACUCUGUGCCAGCAGCCGCGGUAAUACAGAGGGUGCAAGCGUUAAUCGGAAUUACUGGGCGUAAAGCGAGCGUAGGUGGCUUGAUAAGUCAGAUGUGAAAUCCCCGGGCUUAACCUGGGAACUGCAUCUGAUACUGUUGGGCUAGAGUAGGUGAGAGGGAGGUAGAAUUUCAGGUGUAGCGGUGAAAUGCGUAGAGAUCUGAAGGAAUACCGAUGGCGAAGGCAGCCUCCUGGCAUCAUACUGACACUGAGGUUCGAAAGCGUGGGUAGCAAACAGG